rnacentral:rRNA from 1 species
GAUGAACGCUGGCGGCGUGCCUAAUACAUGCAAGUCGAGCGAACGGACGAGAAGCUUGCUUCUCUGAUGUUAGCGGCGGACGGGUGAGUAACACGUGGAUAACCUACCUAUAAGACUGGGAUAACUUCGGGAAACCGGAGCUAAUACCGGAUAAUAUUUUGAACCGCAUGGUUCAAAAGUGAAAGACGGUCUUGCUGUCACUUAUAGAUGGAUCCGCGCUGCAUUAGCUAGUUGGUAAGGUAACGGCUUACCAAGGCAACGAUGCAUAGCCGACCUGAGAGGGUGAUCGGCCACCCUGGAACUGAGACUCGGUCCAGACUCCUACGGGAGGCAGCAGUAGGGAAUCUUCCGCAAUGGGCGAAAGCCUGACGGAGCAACGCCGCGUGAGUGAUGAAGGUCUUCGGCUCGUAAAACUCUGUUAUUAGGGAAGAACAUAUGUGUAAGUAACUGUGCACAUCUUGACGGUACCUAAUCAGAAAGCCACGGCUAACUACGUG